UUUAGCAAAUCUCUUAAAGCCGUUCUCAGUUCGGAUUGUAGGCUGCAACUCGCCUACAUGAAGUCGGAAUCGCUAGUAAUCGCGGAUCAGCAUGCCGCGGUGAAUACGUUCCCGGGCCUUGUACACACCGCCCGUCACACCAUGAGAGUUUGUAACACCCAAAGCCGGUGGGGUAACCUUUUGGAGCCAGCCGUCUAAGGUGGGACAGAUGAUUGGGGUGAAGUCGUAACAAGGUACC
rnacentral:rRNA from 1 species